rnacentral:rRNA from 1 species
UACGGAGGGGGCUAGCGUUGUUCGGAAUUACUGGGCGUAAAGCGCGUGUAGGCGGGUCUUUAAGUCAGGGGUGAAAUGCCAAGGCUCAACCUUGGAACUGCCUUUGAUACUGGAGACCUUGAGUCCGGGAGAGGUGAGUGGAAUUGCGAGUGUAGAGGUGAAAUUCGUAGAUAUUCGCAAGAACACCAGUGGCGAAGGCGGCUCACUGGCCCGGUACUGACGCUGAGGUGCGAAAGCGUGGGGAGCAAACAGG